GCCUGGGAGGCUCAGCUGGUGAAGCAUCUGACUUCAGCUCAGGUCAUGAUCUCAUGGUUCGUGAGUUCGAGCCCCACAUCAGGCU
rfam:Felis catus isolate Cinnamon breed Abyssinian chromosome F2, whole genome shotgun sequence.